ensembl:snRNA U6 U6 spliceosomal RNA
GUGCUCACUUUGGCAGCACAUAUACUAAAAUUUGAACAAUACCGAGAAGAUUAGCAUGGCCCCUGCACAAGGAUAAGACGCAAAUUUGUGAAGCUUUUCAUGCUACA